rnacentral:tRNA from 1 species
UGAGAUAUAGCCAAGUGGUAAGGCAUCGGUUUUUGAUAUCGAUAUGCGAAGGUUCGAAUCCUUCUAUCUCAU